rnacentral:rRNA from 1 species
UUCCCCUAGUAACUGCGAGUGAAGCGGGAAAAGCUCAAAUUUAAAAUCUGGCGGCUUCGCCGUCCGAGUUGUAAUCUGGAGAAGCGUUUUCCGUGUUGGACCGUGUACAAGUCUCUUGGAACAGAGCGUCAUAGAGGGUGAGAAUCCCGUCUUUGACACGGACUACCAAUGCUUUGUGAUACGCUCUCGAAGAGUCGAGUUGUUUGGGAGUGCAGCUCAAAAUGGGUGGUAAAUUCCAUCUAAAGCUAAAUAUUGGCGAGAGACCGAUAGCGAACAAGUACCGUGAGGGAAAGAUGAAAAGCACUUUGGAAAGAGAGUUAAACAGUACGUGAAAUUGUUGAAAGGGAAACGCUUGAAGUCAGUCGCGUUGUCCGGGACUCAGCCUUGCUUCUGCUUGGUGUAUUUCCUGGUUGACGGGCCAACAUCGAUUUUGGACGGCGGAUAAAGGUGAGGGGAAUGUGGCAUCCUCGGAUGUGUUAUAGCCUCUCGUCGGAUGCGUCGUCUGGGAUCGAGGACCGCAGCACGCCUUUUUGGCCGGGGUUCGCCCACGUCACGUGCUUAGGAUGUUGGCAUAAU